rnacentral:rRNA from 1 species
AGGGUUUGAUCAUGGCUCAGGACGAACGCUGGCGGUGCGCCUUAUGCAUGCAAGUCGAGCGAAGCUUUUCAGUAGUUUACUACAGAAAAUGACUGAGCGGCGAACGGGUGAGUAACGCGUGAGCAAUCUACCUUAGUUACAGGGAUAGCCCGAGGAAACUCGGAUUAAUACCUGAUAUUCUUUACAUUUCGCAUGAAAUCAAAAGGAAAGGUCAGCCGAACUAAGAUGAGCUCGCGUUCUAUCAGCUAGUUGGUGAGGUAAAAGCUCACCAAGGCAACGACGGAUAGCUGGUCUGAGAGGACGAUCAGCCACACUGGGACUGAGACACGGCCCAGACUCCUACGGGAGGCUGCAGCAGGGAAUAUUGCGCAAUGGGGGCAACCCUGAUCCAGCUAUGCCGCGUGUGUGAAGAAGGCUCUAGGGUUGUAAAGCACUUUAGGUAAGGACGAAAAGAAUAUAGUUAAUACCUAUAUUCCGUGACUUAACUUACAGAAUAAGGACCGGCUAACUCCGUGCCAGCAGCCGCGGUAAUACGGAGGGUCCAAGCGUUAAUCGGAAUUACUGGGCGUAAAGCGCGCGUAGGCGGUUUGUCAAGUUGGAUGUGAAAUCCCUGGGCUCAACCUAGGAACUGCAUUCAAAACUUAUAGACUAGAGUACGAUAGAGGAGAGUAGAAUUCCUGGUGUAGCGGUGAAAUGCGUAGAUAUCAGAGGAAUACCAAUGGCGAAGCAACUCUCUGGAUCGACACUGACGCUGAGGUGCGAAAGCGUGGGUAGCAAACAGGAUUAGAUACCCUGGUAGUCCACGCCGUAAACGAUGAGAACUAGCCGUUGGAUCUUAGAUUCAGUGGUACAGCUAACGCAUUAAGUUCUCCGCCUGGGGGAGUACAGCCGCAAGGCUAAAACUCAAAUGAAUUGACGGGGACCCGCACAAGUAGUGGAGCAUGUGGUUUAAUUCGAAGAUACGCGCAGAACCUUACCAACACUUGACAUGUUCGUCGCGACUUUGAGAGAUCAAAGUUUUCGGUUCGGCCGGACGAAACACAGGUGCUGCAUGGCUGUCGUCAGCUCGUGUCGUGAGAUGUUGGGUUAAGUCCCGCAACGAGCGCAACCCUCACUUUUAGUUGCCAUCAUUAAGUUGGGCACUCUGAAAGAACUGCCAGUGAUAAGCUGGAGGAAGGUGGGGAUGACGUCAAGUCCUCAUGGCCCUUACGUGUUGGGCUACACACGUGCUACAAUGGUAUCUACAACAGGAAGCAAGACUGCGAAGUUAAGCAAAUCCUUAAAAGAUACCUCAGUUCGGAUUGCACUCUGCAACUCGAGUGCAUGAAGCUGGAAUUACUAGUAAUCGUGGAUCAGCGUGCCACGGUGAAUGCGUUCCCGGGUCUUGUACACACCGCCCGUCACACCAUGGGAGUUGGUUCUACCUUAAGGCAAGGUUUCAAACCCUUGACCACGGUAUAGUCAGCGACUGGGGUGAAGUCGUAACAAGGUAGCCGUA